rnacentral:tmRNA from 1 species
GGGGCUGUUCAGGUUUCGACAGAUAUAGAUGACUAUGAAUUGCAAGUCGAAGGUACGCGUUAAGUACAAAAAAUAAUAACUGGAAACAGAAAUCAAUUAGCUUUCGCUUAAUAGAAAUUUAGAAGGCGCUUCUUAUUAUCAUUUUCUACGGGGUAUUAAGAAGCUCGAUUUAGUAGAAUAUAUUUAUAUUAAUGCUUAUAGGUAUAAAUGAAUAACAUAAGCUAACUAAUUUAUUGGUUGUUGAUUACUUUAUAAAUUAGAACAUUUAUUAAUCAACUAAACUUGUAGAUAUUUAUAGAAAGAUAUAUUUGGACAGGAGUUCAAUUCUCCUCAGCUCCACCA